CCUACGGGGAGCAGCAGUAGGGAAUCUUUCACAAUGGGCGAAAGCCUGAUGGAGCAACGCCGCGUGCAGGAUGAAGGCCCUCGGGUUGUAAACUGCUUUUAUAAGCGAGAAAUAUGAUGGUAACUUAUGAAUAAGGAUCGGCUAACUACGUGCCAGCAGCCGCGGUCAUACGUAGGAUCCGAGCAUUAUCCGGAGUGACUGGGUGUAAAGAGUUGCGUAGGUGGCAUAAUAAGUAGCUAGUGAAAUCUGGUGGCUCAACCAUUCAGACUAUUAGCUAAACUGUUAAGCUCGAGACCGUUAGGGGUAACUGGAAUUUCUAGUGUAGGAGUGAAAUCCGUAGAUAUUAGAAGGAACACCAAUAGCGUAGGCAGGUUGCUGGGACGGUUCUGACACUAAGGCACGAAAGCGUAGGGAGCAAACGGGAUUAGAUACCCGUGUAGUC
rnacentral:rRNA from 1 species